rnacentral:lncRNA from 1 species
GUCUGGAAUUCCAUUCAUCUCCUCCCUGCUAACUACAUAUACAACAAGUACGAACACACAAAGAAGAAUGAAGGAGGCACGCAGGCGAUGUGCUCGCUGGAGGUGAGAAGUCCAUCGCACAUCGUCCGUGCAUACGCCAUCGGCCGGUCGUUUUGUUUGUCGUCGUCGCUGCCGGCCGUUCGUCGUCGUUGUUACCGGUCGUGCCGCUCUCAUCGACUACACACGUCGCCGGCCGCUCGACGUCCGCGCCACACAUCGUCGACGUCGCUGGCUGUUCAUUAUCUGCAUCGUCUACAAGCUGCUCUACACGGGCGGCCGUUCAUACGCAUCACCACUUCAGACAUACGUGAAGGGUCCAAGGCAAGGUGAGAAUUCAGGGAUACAACCUCCCUUACCUCUUGAUGGAUGAUGNNNNNNNNUUAUUUUCACUGUGCGUCUCAUAUAUGUUCGGUGUUACCCAAUUAAUUUGCCCUUGAUUCGGUCUCAUGAUGAUCCUGAUCCCAUGUUGAUACAAAUCAAGAUAAUACAUGAAAAAGCCUAGUCUGGUCAUAUACUAAGCCUCAAUCAUAUACUUAUGCGAACUACGUGCACAUGUGCAAGCAAAUUCUUCCUUAUUUGGUUAGCAUUGUGGCCGCGGUCCCAUGUAGAUACAAAUUAAGGAUAGAAAUAGGAAUAAUUUAACAUGCUUCUUAUUUGAUCACCAUGGUGACUCCGGUCCAUGUAGAUACGAAUUAAGGAUCGAAAUAGAGAUCAAACCUUAUAUUGUUAGGUCUCGUAA